rnacentral:rRNA from 1 species
CGGGUGCGUAACGCGUGGGUAACCUGCCCUUUAGUGGGGAAUAACCCCGGGAAACCGGGGCUAAUACCGCAUAAGAUCCGCAAGGAUGAAGCCGUAAGGCGCUGAUGGAGGGGCCCGCGCACGAUUAGCUAGUUGGUAGGGUAACGGCCUACCAAGGCUAUGAUCGUUAGCUGGUCUGAGAGGAUGGCCAGCCACACUGGAACUGAGACACGGUCCAGACUCCUACGGGAGGCAGCAGUGGGGAAUCUUGCACAAUGGGCGAAAGCCUGAUGCAGCGACGCCGCGUGGGGGAUGAAGCUUCUCGGAGUGUAAACCCCUUUCGACCCGGAC